rnacentral:rRNA from 1 species
UACGGGGGGGGCAAGCGUUGUUCGGAAUUACUGGGCGUAAAGGGCUCGUAGGCAGCCAACUAAGUCAGACGUGAAAUCCCUCGGCUUAACCGGGGAACUGCGUCUGAUACUGGAUGGCUUGAGUUUGGGAGAGGGAUGCGGAAUUCCAGGUGUAGCGGUGAAAUGCGUAGAUAUCUGGAGGAACACCGGUGGCGAAGGCGGCAUCCUGGACCAAUAUUGACGCUGAGGAGCGAAAGCCAGGGGAGCAAACGGG